AGCAGCUGCGGUAAUUCCAGCUCCAAUAGCGUAUAUUAAAGUUGUUGCAGUUAAAAAGCUCGUAGUUGAAUUUCGGGAUCAUCAGGUUGGUCGUGCCUCUGGUAUGUACUGAUCUCGAUGGUUCCUCCUUCUUGAAGAACCGUAAUGCCAUUAAUUUGGUGUUGCGGGAAAACAGGACUGUUACUUUGAAAAAUUAGAGUGUUUAAAGCAGGCAAUCGCUUGAAUACAUUAGCAUGGAAUAAUGAAAUAGGACGUUCGAUCCUAUUUUGUUGGUUUCUAGGAUUGACGUAAUGAUUAAUAGGGAUAGUUGGGGGCAUUAGUAUUCAAUUGUCAGAGGUGAAAUUCUUGGAUUUAUUGAAGACUAAUUACUGCGAAAGCAUUUGCCAAGGAUGUUUUCAUUAAUCAAGAACGAAAGUUAGGGGAUCGAAGACGAUCAGAUACCGUCGUAGUCUUAACCAUAAACUAUGCCGACUAGGGAUCGGAUGAUGUUAAUUUUUAAUGUA
rnacentral:rRNA from 1 species